UAGCUCAGCUGGGAGAGCGCUUGCGUGGCACGCAAGAGGUCGGCGGUUCGAUCCCGCC
rnacentral:tRNA from 3 species